UAUAAAUUUUAGUAUAGUACGGAUUACCUAGUUGGAAUGGAUAUGGUCGUUGACAUAAUCACCCACUUAUUUAAUUAAUUUGUUUUCGUAAAUAAUUAUAUUAAUUUAUUUGUUCUAUCCUCUCGUAUACUACCUACUCAGUUCUUCUACCGCUAUAUAUAUAUAUAUAUAUAACCAAACCAGAGCGAGGGACGGACUCAAGAGCCGUUGUGGUCGGUUCAAUCAAAACUCGCAAGCAAACCCUAUUAUUUUCUCUCAAAUUCGUCUGAAUUUUUUUAUUAGGGUUUUUCUUUUGUUUUCAUUCUGAAUCGAAUUGAAAAAACGAGGAGGAUGAUGGUCGAAUUCUUUCUCUUGGGCUGCACUGGAGUCGUCGUCUUCCUUCACGGAGCCAAUUUCUUCUUUCACGUUCUCACUCAUCACAUCGCCAUUCGAUCUCUCAGUUUCUUGGGAUUUACUGGAUGGUAGAUUGGGGGAAAAGUGUAGCCAUGAAUGAUGUCAUGAUCUGUUCACUCAAGUGAUGAUGGAGAUGGCACAGAGAGCUUGUUCUUGCCGGCACGCUUUGUAAAUAUUUAUCCUGUUUUUGAGCAAAUUAUAGUACUCCAUAUUAUUUAAGAAAUUAGAAAAUUGGAAUAAAUGGGAGGCUCUGUUGAAAUUU